rnacentral:rRNA from 1 species
UUAAGAUACUAAGAGCAUACGGUGGAUGCCUUGGCGAUAUCUGCCGACGAAGGACGUGACAAGCUGCGAAAAGCUGCGGAGAGAUGCAAAUAAUCGGCGACCCGCAGACAUCCGAAUGGAGCAAUCCGGCUGUGAUGAUGCACAGCCAUCCAUGCCCAAGAGCAUGAGAAGGGAACCGGGCGAACUGAAACAUCUAAGUAACCCGAGGAAAAGAAAUCAAACGAGAUACCCCAAGUAGCGGCGAGCGAACAGGGAAGAAGCCCAAACCGGUGAAGGAAACUUUACCGGGGUUGAGGACCAUCAGACCCGCGAAGAACUUUAGCCGAAACUGUUGGGAAACAGUGCCAAAGACAGUGAAAGCCUGGUAGGCGAAAAAGAGAAACGCGGAGAUGGCACCAGAGUACCGCGGGACACGAGAAAUCCCGUGGGAAGCAGGGGGGACCACCCUCCAAGGCAAAACACAGAUAUCGACCGAUAGCGCAUAGUACCAUGAGGGAAAGGUGAAAAGCACCCCGGGAGGGGAAUGAAAGAGAACCUGAAACCGUAUGUUUACAAGCAGUCGGAGACCGCUUAAUAAUAAGGUCGACGGCGUGCCUAUUGAAGAAUGAACCGGCGAGUUACGAAGCCUGGCAAGGUUAAGCAGGAAAUGCGGAGCCGAAGCGAAAGCGAGUCUUAAGAGGGCGCAAGUCAGGAAGCGUAGACCCGAAACCACAGUGAUCUACCCAUGUCCAGGUUGAAACACAGGUAAAAAUGUGUGGAGGACCGAACCUAUAUCCGUUGAAAAGGGUUAGGAUGAGGUGUGGGUAGGGGUGAAAUUCCAAUCGAACGUGGAGAUAGCUGGUUCUCCCCGAAAUAGCUUUAGGGCUAGCCUCAGGGAAAAGAUUGCAGGCGGUAGAGCACUGAUCAGGAGAGGGACCUACCCGGUUACCAAACCCAGUCAAACUCCGAAUGGCUGCAAUCAUACCUGGGAGUCAGACUGCGACUAAUAAGGGCCGCAGUCAAAAGGGAAACAGCCCAGACCAUCAGCUAAGGUCCCCAAUGCCGUGCUAAGUGGCGAAGGAUGUGGCAUUUCAUAAACAACCAGGAUGUUGGCUCAGAAGCAGCCACCAUUUAAAGAGUGCGUAAUAGCUCACUGGUCGAGAGACGCUGCGCCGAAAAUGUCCGGGGCUCAAGCACGGAACCGAAGCUAUGGCAUGAUAGCAAUAUCAUGGGUAGGGGAGCGUUCUUAUAAGGAAGAAGCAUGACCGGAAGGACAUGUGGACGAAUAAGAAGUGAGAAUGCCGGUAUGAGUAUCGAAAAGAAAGGUGAGAAUCCUUUCCACCGAAAGCCCGAGGGUUCCUGAGCAACGAUCGUCGACUCAGGGUAAGUCGGGACCUAAGCCGAGGCGAAAAGCGUAGGCGAUGGACAACAGGUUGAAAUUCCUGUACCGGAUCAAGUCGAUCGAGCGAAGGAGCGACGCAGGAGGGCACAUGAUCGCGCGGCUGGAAGAGCGCGUCCAAGUGCGUAUGUUGCAGCAGAGGAAAACCCCUGCAGCUAAAAGCAGAGACAUGAUGGGGAGUUAAAGGAAACUUUGACGAACUCAUGAAUCCCACACUGCCAAGAAAAACUUCUAGCGAGACAAGAUCCGCCCGUACCGUAAACCGACACAGGUAGGCGGGGAGAGAAUCCUAAGGUGCGCGGGAAAACCCUCGUUAAGGAACUCGGCAAAUUGCAUCCGUAACCUAGGGAGAAGGAUGGCCCCCGGUCAGUGAAGAGCAGAAACGCUCAGAGCUAAAAGGGGCGGCAGAAAAGAGGCCCAAGCAACUGUUUACCAAAAACACAGGUGCCUGCGAAAGCGAAAGCUGAAGUAUAGGUGCUGACGCCUGCCCGGUGCCGGAAGGUUAAGGAGAGAAGUUAGCGAAAGCGAAGCAUCGAACUGAAGCCCCGGUGAACGGCGGCCGUAACUAUAACGGUCCUAAGGUAGCGAAAUUCCUUGUCGGGUAAG